rnacentral:rRNA from 1 species
UGUUCCCUACGGGACGCAGCAGUGGGGAAUAUUGCACAAUGGGGGAAACCCUGAUGCAGCAACGCCGCGUGAGUGAUGACGGCCUUCGGGUUGUAAAGCUCUGUCUUCAGGGACGAUAAUGACGGUACCUGAGGAGGAAGCCACGGCUAACUACGUGCCAGCAGCCGCGGUAAUACGUAGGUGGCGAGCGUUGUCCGGAGUUACUGGGCGUAAUGGGAGCGUAGGCGGUUUUUUAAGUGAGAUAUGAAAUACUCGGGCUCAACUUGAGUG